GGGAGGCCCUGUACCACCACCCAUUCAAUAUGGACCACCGCCUCAGCUCUGUGGCCCUUUUGGGCCUCGGCCAAUUCCUCCACCCUUUGGCCCUGGUAUGCGUCCUCCACUAGGCUUAAGAGAAUUUGCACCAGGAAAAUGGGACCUGCCACUCCACCCUCUGGAACUUUUACCAGGACACACACCAUUUAGGCCUUUAGGUCCUCUUGGCCCAAGAGAGUACUUUAUUCCUGGUACACGAUUACCACCCCCAACCCAUGUUCCCCAGGAUUACCGACCACCACCUGCCAGAAGAGACGUACUGCCGCCAGGCUCAAACGAUGAGCCUCCUCCUGCCUCUCGCAGCACUAGUCAGGACUGUUCACCGGCUUUAAAUCGGAGCCCAUAACUAUGACUUCUGAUGUUUCAUUGGAGAAAAAAUGGACUGUGCAUUAUUUAUUACAGUAAAGGAUUUCAUUGGCUUCAAAAUCCAAGUUUAUUUUAAAAGAUCUGUUGUUAGAACUAAGCUGCCUUGGCAGUAUGCAGUUUUGAGCCAAACAAUUCAGAAAUGUUAUUUCUUCCCUAAACAAAAAUCACCUUUUAAUCUAUAGCAUCCUUACUACUUUGAAAUGUGCAAUAAAGAAUACUUGUGUUUUAGCUAAUGUAGCAUUGUAAUUGCUAAAUGAUUUAGAAUGUCAUGAAAAAUAUGAACAUUUCCUGUGGAAAUGCUUUAAAAACAUGUAUUUCCAUCAUCCUGUUUUUAGUGUACACCAGCUGAAUAUGGGGCAAUGGCGUUUAUAAGCAUUUUUGUUUUUUUAAAAAAAUGAUCUGGUCCCAAAGACUGUUAAGCUAAAAAUGUUUACUAAAAGGUCACUAAACUUUCUCUCCCCACUUGCUGAAGUUGUUUGUAGUAAUAGUUCAUAAAAAGUUGUUUAUUAAUA